GAAAGAUUGUUUUCUUCAGUCAACAUAGCUCAUACUUGCACCAUGCUUAAUUGUGGCUAUUUUCUUUUCUUGUACACAUAGAUUCUCUCUACAUGCUUUAAAGCACAGGAGUCAACUUCAACUUCAAGGAGCGACUGAAGCCAUUCAAGCAGAAUUUCGAAAGCUUCCAACUGGUUAUUCUUGACAGCCAGGUGAAACACAGUUUCAUUCCGGGCUGUUUGCUGUACAAUACAUUGAGGAUCAAAAUCAAGCAGAAAGUUUAUUAUGUCUAUACUCCCAGCUAUGACUGCGCAAUGAAGAGGAGUUUCUUCUCUCUGCCUCUUAACCUAAAAAGGAGACGAUUAAGAGAAAGGAAUUCUUUCACCAGCUCCAAUUGGCCAGUGGCUGAAGCCAAGUGCAUGGGACUAAAGCGAUCUCCAUCAAGUUUUGCACAAAGCAAUGAAUUUAAGUUUGCCGUCUCCUUCGCAAAACGGGUUUGUCUAGCCAACACGGUAACAUCUAAUGGAGUUUUUGAGAGGACAACCUUAUCAAGGUUUUGGAGGGUUUGAUUGUCCUGAAGUAACUGAUACAAAACAUCUAUAUCUCCAGAAUGAGCAGCAUCAAACAAUUUCUCAUUCUUAACUUCUAUAAGUGAGCACAAGGACAUGCCAGAAAGAUCUGCAGAUGGCUAGUUGAGCUAUACAUACAUAUAAUAUAUAUAUUUCAACUAAUUAUCUCAUAUCAAUAUAAAGGGGAUAGAUUAGUUUAGGUCAGACUUUAAUUAUUAAUAAUUUGAUAUUUCAUCAUUGAUGAGGUAACAUUUUUUUCACAAAGAGGAAAAUUUCUUUAAAUGUAUCAGAAAUUUUAUUCAACAGUUGUUUGUAACUUUAGAAGUUUCACAUUUUCAAUACUGAGAUAACAGAGUACAAUAUCACAACUUGAAGCUAAACUAAACUUAAGAACAUUAAGACUUUAAUUAUUAAUACUUGUAGUUUUACUCCUUGCACUUGAUGAGUUGUCUAAGCA
rnacentral:misc_RNA from 1 species